rnacentral:rRNA from 1 species
CCUACGGGAGGCGGCAGUGGGGAAUCUUGCGCAAUGGGCGAAAGCCUGACGCAGCAACGCCGCGUGCGGGAAGAAGGCCCUAGGGUUGUAAACCGCUUUCAGUAGGAACGAAAAUGACGGUACCUGCAGAAGAAGGUGCGGCCAACUACGUGCCAGCAGCCGCGGUGACACGUAGGCACCAAGCGUUGUCCGGAUUUAUUGGGCGUAAAGAGCUCGUAGGCGGUUCAGUAAGUCGGGUGUGAAAACUCUGGGCUUAACCCAGAGCCGCCACUCGAUACUGCUGUGACUUGAGUUCGGUAGGGGAGCAGGGAAUUCCUAGUGUAGCGGUGAAAUGCGCAGAUAUUAGGAGGAACACCGGUGGCGAAGGCGCUGCUCUGGGCCGAUACUGACGCUGAGGAGCGAAAGCGUGGGUAGCAAACAGGAUUAGAUACCCUGGUAGUCCACGCCGUAAACGUUGGGCACUAGGUGUGGGUUCCAACCAACGGAAUCCGCGCCGUCGCUAACGCAUUAAGUGCCCCGCCUGGGGAGUACGGCGGCAACGCUAAACUUAAAUGAAUUGACGG